GAUGAACGCUGGCGGCGUGCCUAAUACAUGCAAGUCGAGCGAACGGACGAGAAGCUUGCUUUUCUGAUGUUAGCGGCGGACGGGUGAGUAACACGUGGAUAACCUACCUAUAAGACUGGGAUAACUUCGGGAAACCGGAGCUAAUACCGGAUAAUCUUUUGAACCGCAUGGUUCAAAAGUGAAAGACGGUCUUGCUGUCACUUCUCGAUGGAUCCGCGCUGCAUUAGCUAGUUGGUAAGGUAACAGCUUACCAAGGCAACGAUGCCUAGCCGACCUGAGAGACGGAUCGGCGACACUGGAACGUGAACACGGACCAUGCUCCUACGGGAGGCAGCAGAAGGGAACCUGCCGCAAUGGGCGAAAGCCUGGCGGAACAACGGCGCGUGAGUGAUGAAGGUCUUCGGAGCGUAAAACUCUGUUAUUAGGGAAGAACAUAUGUGUAAGUAACUGUGCACAGCUUGACGGUACCUAAUCAGAAAGCCACGGCUAACUACGUG
rnacentral:rRNA from 1 species